UCAUGGGGGUGGGUUUUCCCCAUACUGUUCUCAUGGUACUGAAUAAGUCUCAAGAGAUCUGAUGGUUUUAUAAAUCGGAGUUCCUAUGCACAAACUUGCUCUUGACUGCUGCCAUGUAAGACAUAACUUUGCUCCUCA